UGAUAAAACUACAGAGGAUUUCAGGUAAUACACAGUGUGUAUUUCAUUCAUUGAAUAAGCCUUAUCAUCCUUAUUUGACGUCAAACUGUUGAUUCUCUCACUGGGAAGGAGUUUGAUGAUAAUAACGAUGAUAGUUAUAAUAAUUUUAGUUGAAUUGCUGGCUACGAGUUUAAUUGCGCAGACGUUAGUUAACUGGGAAUAGACGUUAUCAGGUAAAAUGGAUCGAUAUGUUUACCAAAGAAACCCUUGAUUGUAGUAAAGCGCCAAGUCACUGUUGAGUCAAUGAAAAGUGAAUUGUUGGUAAAAUGAAAAUGAUGACAAUUGCUCACAAAAAAAUGAUUUCUAUUUCAACAAAAUAAAUGAAAAACUUGAAAUCUAAUUAUCGAUAUUAACCAGGUGUUGAAAUUAAAUUUAAAAUCUGGAACAACCAACCAAACCUAUUCAAAUAAAACCCAUUUUAUAAACCAUUUUGUAACCAAACAAACCUUUGACUCAACAGUCAACCAGAUUUUAAAACUUACACUUUUGUUUAUUUACAUUCAUCUUCAUUCUGCUUCAUCAUCUUUAUUAUUAUCAUUGAAAUUUUAUUUUCUAUUUCAUGAAUUUUAUUGUAUUUAAUUAUUGAUUCAGUUGUAUCAAAUCUUUAACAGUAAAAUAUUUCCCAAUCUACUUCAGUUCGCCUUCAAUAUGAUUCCUUGUUCACCAUGUAACUUGGUUGUGAUCUUUUCGUGUUUCAUCUGUUUUUAUGCCUAAACAUAAACAUCAGAUAGACAAUCAACAUCGUCCGAGUAGUUGGAAUGACGCUACAAGAAUGGACCUGGUCAUGAUUGUCAUGCCGUAUAGCUUAUCCAUACUUUUAUUUUUGAUUUUUACUUUUGGUAUUGCUGUAAGUUCAUCUUUUCAUUUAUGUCUUCUAGGCAUUUAGCUCAAGUUUAUGCUCGACAUUAUAAAUUGAUGGCCAAGAGUAGCAUAAAACUGGCCCACUCUGGCCCACUUCCUCUUCCCUCAGCUGGAGUGGGGUGAAAUAUUUGAUGAUGGGUCAGAAUGGAGAGGAAAAUUUCGAGUCAAAGUUUGACUAAUGAGUUUGAAUGUGAACCAGAUGAAAGUUUUGGUGAACAAGGAGAACCAAUGGCAUGGUUCAGUGUUUAUGGUGGAAUGCAAGAUUCCAAUUAUGUAGGAUUCUAUGAUGAUGUGAUGAGAUUGGAACUGGCUGAAAAUCAGGUGAUAGUCUACCAAGGAAAGACAAUAAAGCAGCUCAUAUUAUUUAUAUCUGACAGUCUCAUAUUGGUAUUUAGGUGAUUUAACCGAGUCGGUGAUGUCAUUGAAAGAGCCCACAUCAAGGUUUAAAAUGUUACAUCCGGAAGAAACCAUGAGAUUGAUCAUGUUUUUUUUCAGUUGCUUCUGGUUAAUAUUGGUAAUUAGCUUCAGCUCGGUUACCCAAAAUGAAUAUGAACCUUCAACUAAGUUGAUUCAAGUUGUUAGUGAACUUUAUAAGGAAGCCCAGCGAGUUGACUUUAUCUCGACACCAAGCGGAGAUGAAUUUACACUGGAAACGAUUAGAGGUCGAUAUCCAUUCGGAAUUGAUUGCAAUGAUUCACAGAUGCUUAAAUACUUACCUUGAAUUAAACAAAUGGAGAAAAUAUUUCCCCCCAUGAAAUUAAACUGUAGUCAGCUUUUCAUUUCA